rnacentral:rRNA from 1 species
GAUGAACGCUGGCGGCGUGCCUAAUACAUGCAAGUCGAGCGAACAGACGAGGAGCUUGCUCCUCUGACGUUAGCGGCGGACGGGUGAGUAACACGUGGAUAACCUACCUAUAAGACUGGGAUAACUUCGGGAAACCGGAGCUAAUACCGGAUAAUAUAUUGAACCGCAUGGUUCAAUAGUGAAAGACGGUUUUGCUGUCACUUAUAGAUGGAUCCGCGCCGCAUUAGCUAGUUGGUAAGGUAACGGCUUACCAAGGCGACGAUGCGUAGCCGACCUGGGAGGGUGAUCGGCCACACUGGAACUGAGACACGGUCCAGACUCCUACGGGAGGCAGUAGUAGGGAAUCUUCCGCAAUGGGCGAAAGCCUGACGGAGCAACGCCGCGUGAGUGAUGAAGGUCUUCGGAUCGUAAAACUCUGUUAUUAGGGAAGAACAAAUGUGUAAGUAACUAUGCACGUCUUGACGGUACCUAAUCAGAAAGCCACGGCUAACUACGUG